GCACAGUUAACAAUAAAUCAGCUCAUUAUCUGCCCACAACUGUUCUCUUUAUCUCUUUAUGCUUCUGAGGGACAGAAAAAUCGGUGACAUGUCACGAUAACCUCACACAGCUGCACAGGUUUGACUGAGAACUGCCAAGGACUUUUCCAGGACUACCAUUCACACAAUUCCACUGAAACGACAUAUUCUUUUAAUUUUAUAAUAGGUGUAGGGAACGAAAAUAAAGGUUGCUAUGUUUACCACUGGUUGACGGGCACGCGACAUUUAUGGUGGAGACAUAGUGGGGGUUGUCACAAUAUUCUUGUUCUCACCCGGGUACUAUUAUUUGCAGGUGUAUGCGGGUUUGUCACAAUAUUCUUGUUCUCACCCGGGUACUAUUAUUUGCAGGUGUAUGCAAACCACUCCCUCUCUCCCUCUUUUAAUCAGGCCAUUCGGAAGAGUGUUAAGGCUGAUUACCGGGGUGAAGAAGAUUUCAGCACAAAGCUGGUGCAGUAAGGCAGUCAUGAAAGCCAGGUAAAGGUUCCCUAUUCAGAUCCAGUUUUAUGACCAACACUUAACCUGAGCGUUUGGCCCAGACAGUGACACUUAUACAACCAUAAUUCUUGGUUCACUAAAAGAUUGUGUACACUGGCAUUCAGUUCUUUAAGACCGUGCCUUACCCAGCAUACUACGUUUUGUACAUUGAAUGCUGACGUGAAGAACGUAGAGGUACGUGGUGUGGAGUCCAAGGUUACAUGUUCACCUCCUGCCCUCAACCCACUCCCAACCCAGCAACGGAUAUUCAGGCUUAAGCGGCGUUUCUGGGCCCCAAGCAUUCUUUAUAUCUGCCUCCACAGUUUGUCUACCUUUGUUUACCUUUGGCCAGAAAAGCGUGUACUCAAGCGACUAACUGUUUGAGGAACGCAUUGUGUCUUCGACGGCAUUCUUCAGUGCAAUACUGAGUUUGUUGCAUCGUAACCCAGUCCCAACCACUGUAAAACUUCAGUAUUGUAACCUACUCUGAACCACUGUACAACCUCAGCAUUGAAACCUUCUCUGAACCACUGUAACACUUCAGCAUUAUAACCUACUCUGAACCACUGUAAUACUUUAGUGUUCCAGAAAUACCAGCUUGUUGUCUGACCAUGUUACAACCAGGAUCAACACAUACUAUGGAAGAUGAACUGGAGGAAGAGAAAGAGAAAGGAGAUAAAAAAGCAGACAGAUAGAGGAGAAUGAGGGGUGGGAGAAAAAGGGGAAAAAAGUGACACCAAUGGAAUACAAAAGAACUACAGACUCAAUAUGUUAUUCAUGUCGCUAAAACGCAUAAGACUUUGCGAUCAGCAAACAUGGAAGAGCUCUAGAUGGAAAGUCACAUGUCAAUUAUUUCUGACAAAUGAUUAUUGGAGUCCGGAAAUUUGCCGGGUUAUCUCUCUAGGGACUCCUUGGUACACACGACGGCCUUUGAAAGCAGCCACCGCCACUUCAGAAGACUUGUAAUGGAUAUUUUCUGUUUUCAGCUUGUGUAUAGUGAAUGUAAGGCAACAAACAGGGGUGAGGGCCAGGCACUGGGUUGGUGGAAACGAAGAAUUUCUUCAAUAUUUGCCGUCAACUGUCUUCCGCUGGUGGACAGAAGACACUGCACUGAACACAGUUUGCAAAGACCGACGAAUCUCGGAUGAGCCUAAGCAGGUGUUGGUAUCCGACCUUACAGCUGGACAGGUGUUCAACAGUUAACCAUAGCGUACUGCUGGCUACACCUGCCUUCACUAAUGGUUAUCAGGCACAAGAUACACCUGAAUACAAACAGACAAGGCUACAUCACCAGCACACACACACAUACACACGCACACACGGACAAACGAGUUACACAAGUGACAAGAAACAGCGCAAUUAAUUCGGCAAGUGUUGAAACAGCUGUCGGCAAUAAAUGACUGUUUAAGUAGGAUCGAAACCGAAGAAAGUCGCAUAAAACCUGAACUUAAAAAGCUUUAAUGACAGGAAAAGACCACAGUGACGAAAAGUCGAACAACCUGGUGUUACAAAGAACACUGUUACAGACAGCAACUACACUCUUCGAUAAACAAUCGUUGUAGAAGAUGUGGUGCCAAUGUUUAUAUAAGAGAGAUUGCCAGAGUAAAACUGAAUGAACCUCAUUCGGUGUGACACGGUGAGACAAGUUCCACAGGCAGCAAAAUUUGUACAGAUUCAAACAAAGCCUGAAAUCCACCCUCUUUUUCCAAGGUAGGAAACAAUUCUGUUUACACUAGUCGUAAGCUACUCUUUUCCAGAGACUGCAAGAUUUCUAUGCUUCUCUAAGAUAUCAGGCCAUAAACAUAGUCCGCAAAACUGCUAACAGUAUCACAGCUUCAGUCGACACUUUUCUUGUCAAAUGGGUCCACCACACACCUGCUGACAUUACUCCAGCAUCACUCGACAUUUUUAUCCCCAAUAUGUCCUUCCAUGAAUUGAUUUCGAAGUCGUCAAAAACACCCACCAAAGGGCGAGGGACCACCAGAAACCCCAGAGUGGAGGAUGGAGAAAGUCACAACUAUUUUAGAAGAUGAUUGUGAAGAAGUGAUGGCCGGCACAAACAUCGAAGAUCAACCUCCUUCAUUGAACAUUACAUAAGAGAAAGACAUGUCCAUCACAAUGCCGCCAGCAGCAUGUGAUAAAAUACUCGAACGGUGUCACCGAGGACAGAGUUAUUUUCAGUGUUGUGGACGUGGAGAGGUCAGGCCAGAGGGCAUCAACACAUCACAACAGUCAGAGGCGGUUACAGGAACUGAUAGAACAACUCGACACCUCUCACAUGGUGGAUCUCUUUUCUAUUGUCACUAGAGAGACAGGUUCAGUUCUCUGUCUCCGCACAAAGAAUUAAAAAAAAUAUUAUACCGAGAGGUCUCUGCACUGAUACUAGCAAAUGGCCAACACCUUAUCAGUUGUAGUGUCCUUGUUUCGAAUUUUGACUGUCGGCUGAAGUGCGCUUUACUUAAGGAUUUUUAACAGUUGGAGACUUGGGUCAACGCAAAUGAGGGAUUUGAAACUAAAUUUUACACAAAUAAGAAUAAAAAAAAGUACAGAAGCAGUU